rnacentral:rRNA from 1 species
GAUGAACGCUGGCGGCGUGCCUAAUACAUGCAAGUCGAGCGAACAGACGAGGAGCUUGCUCCUCUGACGUUAGCGGCGGACGGGUGAGUAACACGUGGAUAAACUACCUAUAAGACUGGGAUAAUUUCGGGAAACCGGAGCUAAUACCGGAUAAUAUAUUGCACCGCAUGGUUCAAUAGUGAAAGACGGUUUUGCUGUCACUUAUAGCUGGAUCCGCGCCGCAUUAGCUAGUUGGUAAGGUAACGGCUUAUCAAGGCGACGAUGCGUAGCCGACCUGAGAGGGUGAUCGGCCACACUGGAACUGAGACACGGUCCAGACUCCUACGGGAGGCAGCAGUAGAGAAUCUUCCGCAAUGGGCGAGAGCCUGACGGAGCAACGCCGCGUGAGUGAUGAAGGUCUUCGGAUCGUAAAACUCUGUUAUUAGGGAAGAACAAAUGUGUAAGUAACUAUGCACGUCUUGACGGUACCUAAUCAGAAAGCCACGGCUAACUACGUG